UGGACACCUGAACACAAGCAAUCACUUGUCAAUAAUCAAUCACCCACUUCACUUGUCUGCAGCUAGGUUGUAAGUACGGAUGUGAAGUGACUCCACUUCAUAAGGUGUGUGACUGUGAGAUGUGAAGUGACUCCACUUCAUAAGGUGUGUGACUGUGAGAUGUGAAGUGACUCCACUUCAUAAGGUGUGCGACUGUGAGAUGUGAAGUGUCUCCUGUUCAUAAGGUGUGCGACUGUGAGAUGUGAAGUGUCUCCUGUUCAUAAGGUGUGCGACUGUGAGAUGUGAAGUGUCUCCUGUUCAUAAGGUGUGCGACUGUGAGAUGUGAAGUGUCUCCUGUUCAUAAGGUGUGCGACUGUGAGAUGUGAAGUGACUCCGGUUCAUAAGGUGUGCGACUGUGAGAUGUGAAGUGACUCCUGUUCAUAAGGUGUGUGACUGUGAGAUGUGAAGUGUCUCCUGUUCAUAAGGUGUGCGACUGUGAGAUGUGAAGUGUCUCCUGUUCAUAAGGUGUGCGACUGUGAGAUGUGAAGUGACUCCACUUCAUAAGGUGUGCGACUGUGAGAUGUGAAGUGUCUCCUGUUCAUAAGGUGUGCGACUGUGAGAUGUGAAGUGUCUCCUGUUCAUAAGGUGUGCGACUGUGAGAUGUGAAGUGACUCCUGUUCAUAAGGUGUGCGACUGUGAGAUGUGAAGUGACUCCGGUUCAUAUGGUGUGCGACUGAGAUGUGAAGUGACUCUGGCUCGUGACGCACUGCAGUGUUGGAGGUGCUGUAGAUGGCUUUGAUGGCUGACGCGGACGAUCCGCU